CAUAACCGUUAUAUAUGCUAUUUUACUGCACUUAAUGUUUGUAGGCUUGUACUGUGCACUUAAGUGUAGGAGUUGACUGAAACCUUAGUUGCAUGAACUCAGGAUUCCUAUUGAGAUGAAUACUAGUAUGCUAGGUCGAGUAGCUGCUUUAUUAAAUAGGGAUCUCGGUAGAAGUCGAGUGAUUUUUCUAGCACUCGCGCGAGGUCAGGACAUUGAUUGUACCCACUUUCAUAUCAUACUGAUGUUGGUCUGUGGACACGGAUCCAUGGGGAUGCGUGGUCUACGAGAUGAAAAUGGAAUAAGGAUUAACGUGCGGAUACCUGUGUCAAGCGUUUGAACGUACUAAGCACAUGCCGAGAAAUAUGGUAAAUCGGUAAGCCUAGUACCUGAGUGAACCUGGCAGUGGACAUAUCCCCUCACGCGACCUGAGACGAGGUCUCCCAUUCCGGUUAUGGUGGGUACAAGUGCGGUCACUGCACGACGGCCAGUCGGGGUCAGUGAGGCAUUGUACGCCAAGGCGGUGAGCCCUGAUCUGCUGACGGGGAAUCGAUGGGGACGGUUGAUAUGUGUGGGGACGGAGUGCCCCUACAUGUCGUGUGUUUAGGUUUACCUUGCAAGGAUAAAAACUCGAUUCGAAUCGUCUGCUUCUCGCAGCUAAUGAGACUGCUUGAUCCAUUGUACUGCAUUGAGUAAUAAGUGGAAAUGAGAUGACUGGCAAAAGAUGUUGAUUGAUAAAAUGUUUGAUACCAUGUAUGACAAGCUAGGUACACAUCUAGUUUAAAAAAAGGAUCAUACUAAAACUUGAAAAGCUAAAACUUGAUUUUAGACUCAGCUAGUGCUUUUGGCAAACCAAACCCCUCAGCCAAACAGCUGCAUGUCUAGAGGUAGAGGAGUAGACUCCUCACACCGGGUAAGUCUAGCUGAGUAUUAGUAUACUCAGCCUUGCUUGUGGCACAAUUUUUGCAGGUACCCCUUAGGGUGAUUGGUUGCUGAUGUGACUUGGCCUCCAUCCCUGCCACCGGGAUAGACGGUCAAGUGGGUUAUUGCUUCCGCAGGAGAGGACCAGGAGGAGUAGCGUGGCCAGGCUUCGCCAUGUUACUCGGUUUUCUCCGUUAGUUAUUUCCGCUGCAUUAAAAACUUAUGGUUAUUAUUUCUGAAACUCCGAUAAUGUAAUCACUAAUGAUACUUAUUAAAUUUGUGGUAUUAUGUUUUAUUGUAUUUCUCUGUGCCUCACCUUCGAGUGAGCUAGUGGUAUUCGAUCCUGGAUAAGUGGCCUUGUCGGACUAGAUCCGAGGGACUGACGGGUUAUUCUGGUUUAAGUGCGUUGCUGCCCUUGCGGGUGUGACUUGGGCACUUAAGCUGGAAUAAUUCGGGCGGUUCCGCCACAGCUGGUAUCGGAGCGAAUACCAUCACAGAGAAGUCAAUAAGUCAUGAUUACCAACCUUUUCUAAAGUAAAACUUGCUUAGAAACCAAAGUUGGAUAGAUCGUCAGGACGAUAAGUAUAGACCGAGGACGUGAAGCCUUAGGAAAUAGAUGGGUAGCUAGGUGGCUAGUUAUUUAGGCCAUAAAGGCUAUUACUAUUAUUAAUAAGGAUGCUGUAGAAGCACCCGAAAAAAAUUAGUUAGGUCUGAGAAGACGACUAGAAUGAGCAUGCAUCAUGAUUGUCGCAUUAUAAUUGUCUCUGGUGCAUCAACAUGCUUCUCUCACCUUUAUUCCAAUAACAAGAACUUGUGAAUAAUGUGAUGUACUGCUAUGUUCUGAAAACUAUAAGAAAUGCUUUACCUUGUGUCGGAUUGGUAAGCCUUGACUAGGUCGUGAUAUGUGUUUCUCUUGCCUUGCUUUCUAGAAGGUACGAUAGUUGUUCAGUCCAUUUUGCCUCAAAAAAAUUGUUGUCUGUCCUGCUCAUAAAAAGACCCUCUUCCCCAAAUAAUCUAGUGGUUCCCUAGUGAAACCCAAAAAAAAAUCAAAUCACGUGCUUGUUUUGGUGUUUCUAGCCCUUGUGUGUUUUACACUUGAAAUUGCACCUACCCAACUUGUAGAUUCCCAUAGCUUGACCCCUAAAUCGGCUAAAGCUUCCUUGUGCACUCGUAGUGUCAAAAAAAUUGUUGUUAGUGUCUAGUUGCGCAAACCCUAUCAAGGCCAUGUUUCUUUCCAUAAAUCCUUGCCCCUAAAACUUCAUAGCGUUUCUGUCGAUCAUCCUAGCUGAUCCUGUUUGCCUACCUCUCCUUUCGCCUGGAUCUGGUAAUCCUUCUUCUUGUGAAUCAUGUUUGCUUUAUCGUUCGAAUCUCGGGAUCCCCAAUUGAUUCUGCCCCGUUAUCUGGUUAUCUGCUAUAACCCGUUCUCAAGUAUCGGAUGUUGAUCUGCCUAAAUCUCUCAUUUCUGGUCAUUCUCAUACCCCCUUUCUCCGAGGAUCAUGACGCUUGUUUUAGCAACUGUAUCUCUAAACAGUGUAUCCAUUCGGUUCAAUGGAUUUUGCUUUUGUCUUUAAUUCUCUCAUGUCUCUAAAAGCUUAUCAAUCUCGAUCUCAUGGUUGGUUCCUCCUCAAAUUAAAUAUCAUAUCAAUCUUUGGCUGAUAAUCCCCGUGAUGAUCAUAAAAUAGUUCUUUGAGUUAAAGAAAAUUCUCAUGCGAUGCUCUUUUGUCGGCAGUCUCUGCUUCAACUCCGAUCACAUUCUUAUUUUCUGAGCCAUACUCUCAUAGGCUCCAUCUAUAUUUGCUAUGUGGAUUUCAUUGGUUACGUUUGGUAAUGGUGUCAUGACUAAGGACUGAUGGUGCCGCGACGAGACCGAGAGCCUACUAUGGUGCACACAUGGUUGAGCUGCUCGGCACGCGCUGGUAUCGCGGUCAAUAGUCGUGAUCCAUUAUAAGACUACACCGAUGUGCUCUCUUUUGUGAACAUUCUCUCAGGGUGAUCGCUGCAUCUUGUCUCGAUAUGUCGCGAUAUUCUAUCCAAAUCUAUCUCCAGUAUCUUGUCAGAUCCCAUCUCAUGAAUUUGCAUCUAUCUUCAGUCUGGGAGUUACAUGCUUCUCCACCCUUAAAUAUCCUCAUUCGAAUCUCGGGACGAGAUUCUGUUUAAGGGGGAAGGCUGUGACACCCCAGGUGUCAAUUUCGCAUUGUGUCGGGAGAUUAAUCCUAAUCUCAGAUGCUCAGUAAAAAUUUCUAUUUCUCGAUCGUGCCUAUCUCUGUUUAUCAGGCUUUCUCUUGGAAGUUCACCGAAUUCAGAGUUAAUCGAUCGCGAGAAACAACCAAUUUUAGAGCGUGUUAAAAACUUUUAAUUCUCGGCACGGAUGCAAACUCGAUAAUCGAUCUCGAAUUAUAAAACUCGUCUAAAGCUCAUUUAAUCAAACGCUCGAUAGCUGCUAGUCGAGCUGUGUCCGACUCCGAUUUAUCGAUGUUCGAUCUAUGUCCAAAAAUUAAUCCGACUCCGUACUCUCAAACGGAAUGCUCAAUAUGUCGUCAUCAAAUCAAUUUUAUCCGACUCGGCUAAAUAUUUCGUGUCCGAACUGAACUUGAAACCCCGUAUCGACUGCGAUUUUUAAAUGUCACGAUUCGCCUUCUCGGACUAAAAAUCCGAAAGCUGGUCGUAUCCCGAGACAAUUUAUUUUCGAAUCAUGCGUAGGAAAUUGUUGCCGAGCGAAAUCAAAUUAGACUCUCGGCCGAAUUGAUCGCUCAAUCGUCCGUUCGUCGAAACUCUGUUUCACUCUGUUCCGCGUACUGACGAAAUCCGCACGAGAAUUUUUCCGGAAAAUAUUUAGCGCAGCCCGAAUUACACGUUUUGGGCCAAGCCCAUUUAAAACCCAACCCAUUAGGCCCACUAAGAAACCCUAACCCUAGGGCUUCUCUAUAAAUACAAACCCCUCUCCCUUGCACUUGGCUUUUAUUCACUCCCACCCCUAUCUUUUUUCAGCCGCCACCAGCAGGCAGCAGCUUCUCCCUCGCGCGUGUCUUCUUCCCUUGGAGCUGAGCUCCUUCUCCCAUGGCGCCUCCACACUCCCAGCCGCCCUCCUCUGCCCAGCAGCCGAGCGCCCAGCUCCCUCCCUGGAUCCAUGGCGUCCAAGCCCCUGUGCCCUCUCUCCCAUGGCGUGAGGCCCCUACUCCCAUCUCUCUACCAGCGCCCAGCCAUGGUGGUCGCCGACCUCCCUGCUCCCUGCUGUUGCUCGCCUUGCUUGGAUGAGAAGCAGCCGAGCGCCCUCCCUGUCCAUGGCGUGGAGCAGCAGCUCCCAUUCCCCGGCGACAUCCUCCUCGCCGUCGUCCAUGGCGCCCCUGCGAACCUCCCUGUCCAUGGCCACAAAUCCUUGCGCCCUUCCUGCGCAGCGCCGCUGCUCCACCCCUCCCCCAGCGCCCCCUCUCUCCCAUGGCCGAGCAGCAGCUCUGCUCGCCUCCCCCUCCUUCUUUUUCCCUUGCGCAGCAGCAAGAAGCCCCUGCUCGCAAUCUUGGCGUCCAACUUCGCUGCGCAGCGGUGCCGAUCCAAAACAGCAGCCCCGAAUCCCCCGCAUCGCGUGCUCGCUCGAUCUGCGCAGCCCCAACAUCGACGCCGUUCACCCCGGUGAGACGACGAUGAUCUUUGUUUGAUUCCACAUCGGCAUUGUUCUCCGGUGAUUAAAUUGUGUAUAUGUGCUGUUUUGUUUUAUUUUGUGGAGGCGAGGAACCCCGUGUGUUGCGUGGAGAAGGCAAGUCGUUCAACGCUCGUCGGAUGCUCGGAGCGAUGCACAAAUCGGAAUCGCCAUCGUCCUUACAAACACCGAUUGGGUUUGUUUAUGGUGAGCCGAUGUAUGUCGCUCUCGGUCGACUCGACUAAUUAUUUUGAAUGGAUGUGUGUAAAAUGUUUCGGUUAUGCGCAUUGGUAGGAUCGCGUUUGCGAUUGGAGAACAAGAGGUUAUUUGAUGUGUGCGAAUUGUAGUGAGUCUAAUUAGGUUUUGAUCGAUGAUGUGCAAGUGUGAUUAUGUGUGUGAAAAUACUUUUGUAUGAAUGGAAGCGUGUAGAGAGGAAAAUGAAGUAGAAAAGAACUCUAAUGUUUUUAUAUCUUGGUAGGAAAAAUAUGUGAUGUGUGGUUUGAUGCGAAAAACUAAGUUACAAAAUGCGGGUUAAGUUUUGAGAAAUGUAUCGAUAUGCGUUUAUGUGAAAAGUAUAAUUGUUUUAUGCAUUGUAAUGGGAUUCAUGAUUAUCUAGGGAGUAUAUUUAUUGAUGUGACGAGUAGUUUAGAAAAUGCUAGUUGCGUAGAGGAUAAAUUAUUAAAACAUGAGUGUCGGAGUUUAUAUAUUAGUGGUCGCGCCACGUUGAUUGAAGUGUCUCGAGUGCACGCCACCAUAUGGUUGUACGCGAGACAAGGUUAUGCGCAUGGUGAGUUUAGUAAAAAUCCAUCGGUGUCACUUGUGCUAAGUCGAGGUUUAUUUGCGCAUAGAAAGUAAUAACGUGCUUAAUAUCUAUAAGUUUUAGUCAAAGUAGGAAAUUGUGUUUGCUUAAUUAGAGAGGUGGUGACAUGCCGAAGUAGUCAUCGCUUUCUCAAUAUUUAUAAGUCGAAUCGAGUCAAUGCGUAUUUUGUGUUCGUUAAAUUAUGCCUCGCAUAUAAUGUGUGAUUGUGCUCACGGAUUCGAGUAGACACUUCAAGCAAGUCAAGUAGGUUUGUGUAUGAGUUGUGUAAUGGAGUUAAUUGUUUUAGGAUAAUUAUUGAAAUGCUCUGUUCGUAUGAUAAACAUGUAUGUGUUCAUGAUUGGGGAGUAAAUGCAUGGUGAUUGUGAGUUGGAGACUAGUAGUUUACGAUUCGUAUGAAUUGGUCAGUGUGCGAAUAUACUUGUGAAUCUGUGGGUUUAUAAAAAUGUUGUAGUAUAUGUUGUGUCUCGGAUUGCGGCAAUAAAAGGCAAGUUGACGUGUACGUUAUCUAGCGGCGGUGUCGUUGCUCUAGUUAACCGAAUGGUUAGGUAACUUGGUUAAGCUCGUAAUCACAGCGAAUGGCUUGUUGUGGUCUAAAUGUGUAUGGUUAUGGGCACGGGUAAAAAGUAGUAGUGCUCAUGUGGGGUCUAAUUGAAACCGCAAAUGGUUGGGUGAUUAUCGGGGAGAAUGCGUCGUUGAUUGGUUGUAGUAGUUUUAGUGCACUAAAUGAUUGGAUGAAAAUUUGUGAGUCUACUUGUUAGUCCUCAUUUGAUUAUUUUAACUCUAACAAUUGGUAAGGUGUUAGAAUAAUUCAAGUCUCUAGAGCAAGGCGAUUCUUGAAUUAUAUAGGAGCUGAAAUUUGUUGAUUGUUGUUUUGGGCUGCACGUACUGUUUUCAGUGUGCUGUAUGUUUGAUGAACUAAAUUGUGUUUUCUGUAGAUAUGUGCUAUAGAAAAGUGGUAGAUAACCUUAUUAUAUUGCUGGUGUUAAAAUUUGACAGCCAUAGGUCUGACGGUUUAGGAGUUAGGAUUUUUACAAAUUCAGUAACUGAAUCUGUCCAAAUUCUGUACAGAUUUCAGAAACUGCAUUGUUUGCUCAAUUUAAUGUUGCAAUCUGUUCAUGGUCCUUAUAAGAAAGUUGUAGAUGCUUUUCUGAUCUUGCUUGUGUUAAAAUUUCAUAACUAUAGGCCUGACGGUUUAAGAGUUAUGAAUUUUUCAAACUGAUUGCUGUGUUCUGUCCUCUAUCAGAACAGAUUUCAAAAACUGUAAUGUUUGAUUUGAAUAAACCUGGAAUCACUUUUUGGUGAUUAUAAAAGUUAUGUAGUGCUUUUGCCAAGCUUUCCAAAAAGUCUUGGAUCACUAUUUUUGGUGGUCUGAAGAUUUAGUUACAUGUGUUUUAAGUGUGAAGACUGAAUCUGUCCAGUUUUGGACAGCACAGCCUUCAUAGUAUGUUUUACCCUUGAUACAUGCCAAACCAGCCAGGGAUGUUUAUAAAUAAUUUGUAGAACAUUUAAUUAGCUUUCCAGAAAGUCCAGGAUCACUUUGUUUGGAUGCCUGAAUCUUCAGUUGUGAAUUUAUGAAGUUGCAAGUCAGAAUCUGUCCAAAUCUGGACAGUGCUGCUGUAAUUGCACUUUUUGACCUUGCUAACAGCUGAAUCCUGUGGAGGUAAAAAUACCAAAGUUGUAGUUCACUUUGUAAGCUUUCCAGAAAGUCCUAGUUUGCUAGUUUUGGAUUAAUAUUUGAAAAGUUAUGAUUAAAACAAACAACUGCUGUAUUGCUGUCCUAAAAUUCUGCUAGUGCUCAUUUGAUUGUUAGUUCACCCGUUUGGCUAAAAAUGUUUGGUUUGCUCUUAAGUAAUGUAGACUUGUCAUGGUUAAGCUAGAGAUGACAUGUGUGUCUUGUUUUAUAUGUUUCUUCUCUAGUUGAUUGUGAUAUAGGAGUUUCCAUAGACAUUGAUGCCUAUGUCCUCUAGUGAACUUGUGUGCUCGAUGAUGCUUUUGCGCGAUCAAUAGGGGAACUAAUGAAAAGCCAUGUCCAAAUAAAUAAAAUGCGCGUACUUGUGAUGUUGUUAUUGUGUUGCGUAAAUAAACAAACAUGUUAUCGUCUUUUUAAUGGUGUUGAUGCUGAACGUCGAUAAUGUGUAGAUAACUAAAGCGAACAUGUGGUUGUUGCAGUGUCUUACUAACUAAUGUUUAGUUCGCCACUGUGUCUUGGUAUACCUUGUGCUAUUUUUGUGCUACUUUCAUUAUAUUCAUACAUAUGCAUCUUGCACCUCAUAUAGGACCGAGAGAUGAUGAUCGAGCCAGUGAUGUGGUGCCAACCACGAGAUGCCGUGGUGGACGACACAAGGAAGGAUGGACUUAACCAGUGGAUGCUCGCCAAGCGAGUACCUCCCCCAGCAAACACUACCUAUGUGUUAAAAAGGCAAGCCUCGGUUUUAUGCAUAACCGUUAUAUAUGCUAUUUUACUGCACUUAAUGUUUGUAGGCUUGUACUGUGCACUUAAGUGUAGGAGUUGACUGAAACCUUAGUUGCAUGAACUCAGGAUUCCUAUUGAGAUGAAUACUAGUAUGCUAGGUCGAGUAGCUGCUUUAUUAAAUAGGGAUCUCGGUAGAAGUCGAGUGAUUUUUCUAGCACUCGCGCGAGGUCAGGACAUUGAUUGUACCCACUUUCAUAUCAUACUGAUGUUGGUCUGUGGACACGGAUCCAUGGGGAUGCGUGGUCUACGAGAUGAAAAUGGAAUAAGGAUUAACGUGCGGAUACCUGUGUCAAGCGUUUGAACGUACUAAGCACAUGCCGAGAAAUAUGGUAAAUC
rnacentral:lncRNA from 1 species